UAGCUUAGUGGUUACUUUAGUAGGGGUAGGGGUCGCUUAGUGGUUAAGACGCUGGACUCCUGAUCGGAAGGUUGAGAGUUCAAAAUCCCAGCACCACCAGGCUGCCACUGCUGGGCCUUUGAGCAAGGCCCUUAACCCUCAACUGCUCAGUUGUGUAAAUAAUAAGAUAAUUGUAAGUCGCUCUGGAUAAGGGCGUCUGCCAAAUGCCAUAAGUGUAAAUGUAAAUUUUAGUAGUGUACCACAGCGCUAGUAAAUUCUCGAUUCUGAUUGGUCAGAAGGUGUUGAUAAAUUUUUAGGUAAAAUCACUGAUUAUGGAGAAGCUUGGAGGUGUUUUAUUUAACAAUUUAUGGAAGCAGAAUCCAGUGUCAGUGCUUUGUAACUUAUACAAGAAGGGGAAAAAAGACUGGUGACUGGUGGAAUGACCUUUUAUACCUGCUAUAAGGUAAGUGAUAACAUGAACUAACUAGUUCCUCAGACGUUCCACAACAUUAAUUAUAACUAUAAAUGAAUAAAAAGUGCAAUAUGUUCUUUAGUCAAUAAAAUAAACGUAAAUGUUGGCAAAUCCUGCGGUAUAAGAGGAAUAAGACACUUUGGGAUGUGUUAUUUUCCUGUAACAGUACAUCCUAAUUGCUUUAUUCCUUACUGCAACCAUCUAGUGUAGUGGUAUUUCCACCCAACAUCCUUGACAAUAAAAUAUAUAAGCAUAUAAAAGACAAUACAUACAGUGAAACAAAUUAUACACGGGCAAUAACUGCUGUCAUAUGUCCUUGUUCGGGUUGUUUAUCUUGUCAUUUUCUUGUUAUUUUAUUGUAGGAGAAAUGAUUAUCUCGUUACAGUGGCACCUGUCAAGGGGUGGGAUAUAUUAGGCAGCAAGUGAACAGUCAGUUCUUGGAGUUGAGGUGUUGGAAGCAGGAAAAAUGGGCAAGCGCAAAAAUCUGACCGACUUUGAUUAGGGCCAAAUUGUGAUGGCUUAAAUGACUGGGUCGGAGCAUCUGCAAAACAGGUAGGUCUUGUGGGGUGUUCCCGGUAUGCAAUGUGUAGGACCCCGGUGUGUGCGAGUGUGGAGGAAGACUCGGGAGGCAGGCAGAACUUUAGCCAACCUCCAGGCUAGAGUUUAUUCAGUCCGUGCUUUCCAGUGCACGUUCAAAAAAAAAAAAACAACAACAGGAAACGGCUCCGUCCUGGACUCGCAGCUUUCGAUCCGUUAACUUCUAGUUCACACUUCUUGGUGUGUAUGUGUGUGCGCGUGUCUGUGUCUCACAAGCUCUGCCAAGCGGUAUCACACUCUCUCUCUCUCUUUCUCUCUCUCUCUCUGUCUCCCCGGGCUACGGGACACGCAAAUAUGUAGACUGGCGUUAAUGAGACACAGAUGAGAAUCAUCAGGCGUUACCUGCCGGUUCGACCCGCCUCCUCUCCGUCCACAGCUGCUGCUCGACCACUCCCCUGAAGGACAACUGGUGAAUCGGCGACAAGGUCGUGGGCGCCCAAGGCUCACUGAUGCAAAGGCUAGUCCGUCUGUCUGGUCCAAACCCACGGAAGAGCUACUGUAGCACAGAUUGCUGAAAAACUUAAUGCUGGCUAUGAUAGAAAGGUAUCAGAACACACAGUGCAUCAGAGCUUGCUGUGUAUGGGGCUGCGUAGCCACAGACCGGUCAGAGCGCCCAUGCUGACCCCUGUCCACUGCCGAAAGCACCUACAAUGGGCACAUGAACAUCAGAACUGGACCAUGGAGCAAUUGAAGAAGGUGGCCUGGUCUGAUGAAUCACGUUUUCUUUUACAUCUUAUGGAUGGCAGGGUGUGUAUGCAUCACUUACCUGGGGAGAGGUGGCACCAGGAUGCACUAUGAGAAGAAGGCAAGCCGAUGGAGGCAGUGUGAUGCUCUGGGCAAUGUUGUUCUGCUGUGAAACAUUUUGUUCCUGGCAUUCAUGUGGAUGAUACUUUGACACGCCUACCUAAACAUUGUUGCAGACCAAGUACACCCCUUCAUGGCAACAGCAUUCCCUAAUGGCAGUGGCCUCUUUCAGCAGGAUAAUACGCCCUGCCACACUGCAAAACUUGUUCAGAAAUGGUUUAAGGAACAUGACAAAGAGUUCAAGGUGUUGACUUGGCCUCCAAUUUCCCCAGAUCUCAAUCCGAUUGAGCAUCUGUGGGAUGUUCUGGACAAACAAGUCUGAUCCAUGGAGGUCCCACCUCGCAAAUUAGAGGACUUAAAGGAUCUGCUGCUAACUUCUUGGUUCCAAAUACCACAGCACACCUUCAGAGGUCUUAUGGAGUCCAUGCCUUGAAGGGUCCGAGCUGUUUUGGUGGUACAAGGGGACCUACACAAUAUUAGGCAGGUAGAUUAAUGUUAUUGCUGAUUGGUAUAUGUUAUUUAAUUAUAUGUUUGAAAGAUUUCAAUUUAUUUAAAAAAAAAAAACAACCUAAAAAUCAAUUCUCCUUAUUUUCCCAGCACGUCCCACUUUGAAUAUUCCUGACCUACAGUGUUUCAAAUUUAGGUUUAUCAAAGAAUUAAAUCUCCAUUAAUUGGAUUGUAUCAACUUUAUUUAGCAAUCAAAUGUAUCUUAAAUACUGUCUAAAAUUUACAGAAAAUUAUAUUUACAACUUAUAAAAUACAUUGAAAUUCUUUUUUUUUCCGUAUUACAAAUGAGCACCAAAAAUGAUAAACCUUGGCUCACUUUCUGACAGCGGUAUCACUAAAAAAGAA